rnacentral:rRNA from 1 species
GGGUUGUGAGGUUAAGCGACUAAGCGUACACGGUGGAUGCCCUGGCAGUCAGAGGCGAUGAAGGACGUGCUAAUCUGCGAUAAGCGUCGGUAAGGUGAUAUGAACCGUUAUAACCGGCGAUUUCCGAAUGGGGAAACCCAGUGUGAUUCGACACACUAUCAUUAACUGAAUCCAUAGGUUAAUGAGGCGAACCGGGGGAACUGAAACAUCUAAGUACCCCGAGGAAAAGAAAUCAACCGAGAUUCCCCCAGUAGCGGCGAGCGAACGGGGAGCAGCCCAGAGCCUGAAUCAGUGUGUGUGUUAGUGGAAGCGUCUGGAAAGGCGCGCGAUACAGGGUGACAGCCCCGUACACAAAAAUGCACAUGCUGUGAGCUCGAUGAGUAGGGCGGGACACGUGGUAUCCUGUCUGAAUAUGGGGGGACCAUCCUCCAAGGCUAAAUACUCCUGACUGACCGAUAGUGAACCAGUACCGUGAGGGAAAGGCGAAAAGAACCCCGGCGAGGGGAGUGAAAAAGAACCUGAAACCGUGUACGUACAAGCAGUGGGAGCACGCUUAGGCGUGUGACUGCGUACCUUUUGUAUAAUGGGUCAGCGACUUAUAUUCUGUAGCAAGGUUAACCGAAUAGGGGAGCCGAAGGGAAACCGAGUCUUAACUGGGCGUUAAGUUGCAGGGUAUAGACCCGAAACCCGGUGAUCUAGCCAUGGGCAGGUUGAAGGUUGGGUAACACUAACUGGAGGACCGAACCGACUAAUGUUGAAAAAUUAGCGGAUGACUUGUGGCUGGGGGUGAAAGGCCAAUCAAACCGGGAGAUAGCUGGUUCUCCCCGAAAGCUAUUUAGGUAGCGCCUCGUGAAUUCAUCUCCGGGGGUAGAGCACUGUUUCGGCAAGGGGGUCAUCCCGACUUACCAACCCGAUGCAAACUGCGAAUACCGGAGAAUGUUAUCACGGGAGACACACGGCGGGUGCUAACGUCCGUCGUGAAGAGGGAAACAACCCAGACCGCCAGCUAAGGUCCCAAAGUCAUGGUUAAGUGGGAAACGAUGUGGGAAGGCCCAGACAGCCAGGAUGUUGGCUUAGAAGCAGCCAUCAUUUAAAGAAAGCGUAAUAGCUCACUGGUCGAGUCGGCCUGCGCGGAAGAUGUAACGGGGCUAAACCAUGCACCGAAGCUGCGGCAGCGACGCUUAUGCGUUGUUGGGUAGGGGAGCGUUCUGUAAGCCUGCGAAGGUGUGCUGUGAGGCAUGCUGGAGGUAUCAGAAGUGCGAAUGCUGACAUAAGUAACGAUAAAGCGGGUGAAAAGCCCGCUCGCCGGAAGACCAAGGGUUCCUGUCCAACGUUAAUCGGGGCAGGGUGAGUCGACCCCUAAGGCGAGGCCGAAAGGCGUAGUCGAUGGGAAACAGGUUAAUAUUCCUGUACUUGGUGUUACUGCGAAGGGGGGACGGAGAAGGCUAUGUUGGCCGGGCGACGGUUGUCCCGGUUUAAGCGUGUAGGCUGGUUUUCCAGGCAAAUCCGGAAAAUCAAGGCUGAGGCGUGAUGACGAGGCACUACGGUGCUGAAGCAACAAAUGCCCUGCUUCCAGGAAAAGCCUCUAAGCAUCAGGUAACAUCAAAUCGUACCCCAAACCGACACAGGUGGUCAGGUAGAGAAUACCAAGGCGCUUGAGAGAACUCGGGUGAAGGAACUAGGCAAAAUGGUGCCGUAACUUCGGGAGAAGGCACGCUGAUAUGUAGGUGAAGUCCCUCGCGGAUGGAGCUGAAAUCAGUCGAAGAUACCAGCUGGCUGCAACUGUUUAUUAAAAACACAGCACUGUGCAAACACGAAAGUGGACGUAUACGGUGUGACGCCUGCCCGGUGCCGGAAGGUUAAUUGAUGGGGUUAGCGCAAGCGAAGCUCUUGAUCGAAGCCCCGGUAAACGGCGGCCGUAACUAUAACGGUCCUAAGGUAGCGAAAUUCCUUGUCGGGUAAGUUCCGACCUGCACGAAUGGCGUAAUGAUGGCCAGGCUGUCUCCACCCGAGACUCAGUGAAAUUGAACUCGCUGUGAAGAUGCAGUGUACCCGCGGCAAGACGGAAAGACCCCGUGAACCUUUACUAUAGCUUGACACUGAACAUUGAGCCUUGAUGUGUAGGAUAGGUGGGAGGCUUUGAAGUGUGGACGCCAGUCUGCAUGGAGCCGACCUUGAAAUACCACCCUUUAAUGUUUGAUGUUCUAACGUUGACCCGUGAUCCGGGUUGCGGACAGUGUCUGGUGGGUAGUUUGACUGGGGCGGUCUCCUCCUAAAGAGUAACGGAGGAGCACGAAGGUUGGCUAAUCCUGGUCGGACAUCAGGAGGUUAGUGCAAUGGCAUAAGCCAGCUUGACUGCGAGCGUGACGGCGCGAGCAGGUGCGAAAGCAGGUCAUAGUGAUCCGGUGGUUCUGAAUGGAAGGGCCAUCGCUCAACGGAUAAAAGGUACUCCGGGGAUAACAGGCUGAUACCGCCCAAGAGUUCAUAUCGACGGCGGUGUUUGGCACCUCGAUGUCGGCUCAUCACAUCCUGGGGCUGAAGUAGGUCCCAAGGGUAUGGCUGUUCGCCAUUUAAAGUGGUACGCGAGCUGGGUUUAGAACGUCGUGAGACAGUUCGGUCCCUAUCUGCCGUGGGCGCUGGAGAAUUGAGGGGGGCUGCUCCUAGUACGAGAGGACCGGAGUGGACGCAUCACUGGUGUUCGGGUUGUCAUGCCAAUGGCACUGCCCGGUAGCUAAAUGCGGAAGAGAUAAGUGCUGAAAGCAUCUAAGCACGAAACUUGCCCCGAGAUGAGUUCUCCCUGACUCCUUGAGAGUCCUGAAGGAACGUUGAAGACGACGACGUUGAUAGGCCGGGUGUGUAAGCGCAGCGAUGCGUUGAGCUAACCGGUACUAAUGAACCGUGAGGCUUAACCUUACAACGCCGAAGGUGUUU